UACGGAGGGUGCAAGCGUUAAUCGGAAUUACUGGGCGUAAAGCGUGCGUAGGCGGUUGCUUAAGUUGGAUGUGAAAGCCCCGGGCUCAACCUGGGAACUGCAUCCAAACUGGGCAACUAGAGUACGAGAGAGGAGUGUGGAAUUUCCUGUGUAGCGGUGAAAUGCGUAGAUAUAGGAAGGAACACCAGUGGCGAAGGCGACACUCUGGCUUGAUACUGACGCUGAGGUACGAAGCGUGGGGAGCAAACAGG
rnacentral:rRNA from 1 species